rnacentral:sRNA from 2 species
ACCUACUGCUGCCAACCUAUCUAUCACUGCUAAUCUAUCGCUGCUAAUCUAUCGCUGCUAAUCUAUUGCUGCUAAUCUAUCGCUGCUAAUCUAUCACCGCCAACCUAUCUACCACUGCCAACCUACCUACCACUGCCAACCUAUCUAUUGCUGCCAAUCUAUAUAGAGUAAAUCAUGGUCCCAUUUGGUCCCAUUUUGUAAAAUGGAAUCAAAUGGGACCAGAAUCACUAAUUUAUUAGUAAAACAUGAUCUGGGACUAGAUUUAUAAUAUAAACAGUGUAAAGUGACUAAUUUGCUAAACACUAUAUGAGAUCAGAACUAAAAUAUCUAAUAAUGGAACUGAGGAAAAAUUUGGUCCCAGUCUCAUGCAUGGUCACACAGUCAGUCUAGUAUAAACCUUCAACUCAGAAUAUUCUAUACAUUAUAAAAAAAUCUAAAACA